UACAGAGGGUGCGAGCGUUGUCCGGAAUUACUGGGCGUAAAGGGCGCGUAGGCGGCUUGGUAAGUCGGGGGUGAAAGUCAGCGGCUCAACCGCUGGACUGCCUUCGAGACUGCCUGGCUUGAGCAUGGUAGAGGCUGGCGGAAUUCCCGGUGUAGCGGUGGAAUGCGUAGAGAGUCGGGAAGAACAUCGGUGGCGAAGGCGGCCAGCUGGGCCAUUGCUGGACGCUGAGGCGCGACAGCGUGGGGAGCAA
rnacentral:rRNA from 1 species